UACGGGGGGGAGCAAGCGUUGUUCGGAAUUACUGGGCGUAAAGGGCUCGUAGGCGGCCAACUAAGUCAGACGUGAAAUCCCUCGGCUUAACCGGGGAACUGCGUCUGAUACUGGAUGGCUUGAGGUUGGGAGAGGGAUGCGGAAUUCCAGGUGUAGCGGUGAAAUGCGUAGAUAUCUGGAGGAACACCGGUGGCGAAGGCGGCGAUCCUGGCCAAUUCUGACGCUGAGGAGCGAAAGCCAGGGGAGCAAACGGGG
rnacentral:rRNA from 1 species